AGUUAAUGUAUAACUUAUACAAUUGAUUUGGUCUGAGACACGCAGAUGCCAGACCAGAUAUAACCCCACCAUGUCCCUGCUGUAAAAGUAGUUCACUAAGAAAUCCCAAGUGGUAUAACAUGGGAACAUGCUGGAUAUUGUCAUCAAUAUUGGAGAUAAAGCUGACUAAUGAGCAUGUGGGUAUAAUCUCAGCACAGAAUCAUCAUUCUAAAGCCCACCAGAUGGUAUUCUACAGAACCAACAAGAACUGUCUGAUAACCCCAGAUGUUGCCUGUGCUUUCCCAGUCACUCAACAAAGAAGGCAUGUGACAACUACACACAUUUCUGGAAUGACAUCAGGAAAAAACAUGUCACCGUGGCUCUUGUUGACUAGCAGGCUAAAUUUUGGGGGAGGGUGGUUCACCAAUUUCAAACCCCUAAUUCUUCCCUAGGUAUUUUUCCAGCUUUGUUUACUCUAAAAUAAAUCUAAAGAAAAGGGGGCUUAUGAAUACUUCCUUUCUUUAUGUGUUUGCAAAAAGAAUGUAGAGAAUAUUAUUAAAGAAUGAUAAAAUGUUAUAAACUUGUUUCUUUUACAGUCUCUCCCAACAAAGAGGUUAGGCAAUGAUGGGAUAUCCAUUGAAAACAAAUGACUUACCCUGACAGACUGCUUUUUGGUGAGGUUACUGGCUAUGGACAAAGGAGUUGCUUUGCUUUUAGCUUUUCUCCUAUUGUCUUCUCAGCCAUGACCAUAGAGCAAGAGGUGAAGGAAGGUAUUGUGGCAUUUUUCUUGAGGCCCAGUCAUGGCAUGCUAAGACUAGCUCUUGGCAAGAAGACACCAGCAGGGCCCAUGCCAUAGGCCUUUGCUGUGUCCGCAAAGUUCAUAUUUCAUGAAUUUUCAUUUUAUAUAGUAGACAACAAACAAUCUUACUUCUUAGGAAUAAGUCCUGGACUAGAAUCUGCCCUAAGGUCAACAAAGUUUGUUCAAAAUGUACCUACCCAUAACGAAGUAAAAUCUCAGGUUCCCGUAACCAGUAGUGUCCAUGUAUGGAGUGCAUAAUUUCCUCUCUCCGUCUUUGAGGAAGACCAUUGAUAAACCUGAUUCUAUUGUUCCGCACUCUGUACCGAUAACAGCUCCCAAGAUGUCCCACCUUAAAAAAAAAAAGUCAUUGAGAGCAAAUCUUUACAAAGUAAAAAAUUCUGUUUUUAACUAAGAACAUUUAUUUAGCAAUGAAUGAUUCUGAAAUAAAGGUGUGGUACUGCAGACUUUAGGCAAUGAAUAUACUUGGAACACAUCCCAUUCACAGUUAUGGUUCUUCUCUAGAGAGACAAUUUUUAUUAGUACUAUGCUAGUUUGUCUACCACAUGGCCAGAGCGUGCUCCCAAGUAGGACAGUGUUUACUUUCAAAGUACUUGCAGUUCAGUUCAGGAAUCAAAUAUGAACUAAGGAAACAGUGAACCAUUGAAUAUCAUAAUAUAAACCCUUGCAUGGUAUUUUGCAUAUUAAAAAUUAUUCUAGAAUGAAAAGCUGUAAUAGCUGCCAAAAGUCCAGCAAGUUUUCAAAAAGGAGACAGGAUUUAAAAUGGGUCUGGUCCAAUAGGUCUUUGGAUAUGUA